rnacentral:rRNA from 1 species
AGCGAACGCUGGCGGCAGGCCUAACACAUGCAAGUCGAACGAACCUUUCGGGGAUAGUGGCGGACGGGUGAGUAACACGUGGGAACGUGCCUUUAGGUUCGGAAUAACUCAGGGAAACUUGUGCUAAUACCGCAUGUGCCCUUCGGGGGCAAGAUUUAUCGCCUUUAGAGCGGCUCGCGUCCGAUUAGCUAGUUGGUUGAGGUAAUGGCUCACCAAGGCGACGAUCAGUAGCUGGUCUGAGAGGAUGAUCAGCCACAUUGGGACUGAGACACGGCCCAAACUCGUACGGGAGGAAGCAGUGGGGAAUCUUACGCAAUGAGCGAAAGCCUGACGCAGCCAUGCCGCGUGAAUGAUGAAGGUCUUAGGAUUGUAAAAUUCUUUCACCGGGGACGAAAAUGACGGUACCCGGAGAAGAAGCCCCGGUUAACUUCGUG